rnacentral:rRNA from 1 species
GAUGAACGCUGGCGGCGUGCUUAACACAUGCAAGUCGAACGGAAACUUCCAAGCUUGUUUGGGUACUCGAGUUGCGAACUGGUGAGUAACACUUGGGUGAUCUGUCCUUCACUUCGGUUUAAGCCUGUGAAACUGGGUCUAAUACCGGAUAGGACUUCAUUUUUGUUGGUGUGGUGGAAAGUUUUUCGGUGUGGGAUGAGCUCGCGGCCUACCAGCUUGUUGGUGGGGUGAUGGUCUACCAAGGAGUCCACGGGUAGCCGGCCUGAGAGGGGGUACGGCCACAUUGGAAAUGAGGUACGGCACAGACUCCUAAGGGAGGCAGCAGUGGGGAAUAUUGAACAAUGGGCGAAAGCCUGAUGCAGCGACGCGGCGUGGGGGAUGACGGCCUUAGGGUUGUAAGCUGCUUUCGCUAGGGACGAAGCGUGUUUGUGACGGUACCUGGAGAAGAAGCACCGGCUAACUACGUG